AGCCUAACUGUUGAACUUUAUUUUUUCUUUUCCUAAAAGGGCAUGUACCAAGCAAAAUACUGCACUGUCAGCAAUCAGGACACAAAGCGCCGUGGUAUGCAAAACAGGAUUUACUAGACACAUAUUUACUUAUGUAGAGUGUGACGCACAUGCAGUGAGAACACAGAACGGCUG
rnacentral:lncRNA from 1 species